AUUGAACGCUGGCGGCAUGCCUUACACAUGCAAGUCGAACGGCAGCGGGGACUUCGGUCCGCCGGCGAGUGGCGAACGGGUGAGUAACGUAUCGGAACGUACCAUUGAGUGGGGGAUAACGUAGCGAAAGUUACGCUAAUACAGCAUAUUCACUCCGGCGGAAAGCAGGGGACGGCAAGGCCUUGCGCUCUUUGAGCGGCCGAUAUCAGAUUAGCUAGUUGGUGAGAUAAAGGCUCACCAAGGCGACGAUCUGUAGGGGGUCUGAGAGGAUGAGCCGCCACACUGGAACUGAGACACGGUCCAGACUCCUACGGGAGGCAGCAGUGGGGAAUUUUGGACAAUGGGGGCAACCCUGAUCCAGCCAUGCCGCGUGAGUGAAGAAGGCCUUCGGGUUGUAAAGCUCUUUCGGCCGGGAAAAAAUCGCAUGGGCUAAUACCCUGUGUGGAUGAUGGUACCGGAAUAAGAAGCACCGGCUAACUACGUGCCAGCCGCCGCAGUAA
rnacentral:rRNA from 1 species